CCUCCUCUUCUCUUCUUCUUCUUCUUUUUUUGUGGAAGACCCACGUGUCAUUCCUCCUUCUCGAUUUUUUUCUCCCUUCUGCUAACCAUCUCUCUCCCUUUCUCACGCACGUCGGAAACGACACGACUUUUCGUCGACGACAUGUCUGAAAUCUCCCUCUUUGUCUCCUUCAAUCGACGCCACCACCCAACACCCCUUGUGCGCUGAACUCGCCGGUGAAUCUCAGUCGUCGCGCGCGGUAGCUAUUUGGAGAUCAAGCCUAUCGUUGUCUAUCUCUAUUCUUCGUUCAUAUUAAACUUCUAGAUUUUAGAAGCAUUUAAGUCCAUAUCCAGCCUUUCGGAAAGUCGUACUUGGGCAUUUUGGCACAACUUGGUGGCAGGGCCCUUCGGAUUCUGAAAAGUUUUGAAGCAUGGAAAGAAUGUCACGACCCAACCCAAAAGUUUGGAAGAAUCUACUGGAGCAGUGAAGCCAUCUUGGAGCAAUUGAUUGAUAUAACGCUUUUUGUAUGGUUGAUAGCAAACUCUUGGUUCCAAUGUACUAAUUUUAGACUUCUUCGUAGCUAAAGAUGACAAUGUUUAUUAUUUUUCUCUGUAAACUACCUUUCAGCAAAAAAUGAUUAUUAGUCAAUGUGUGAUAUUAGUCAAUGGGUGUACGAAUAUUACAAAGUGCAUAAUUACGUAUAUAUAUUAAAGUGUUGACUUUUUGUUUUCA